rnacentral:rRNA from 1 species
CGGUCGCCGCGGUAAUACGUAGGGUGCAAGCGUUAAUCGGAAUUACUGGGCGUAAAGCGUGCGCAGGCGGUUAUAUAAGACAGAUGUGAAAUCCCCGGGCUCAACCUGGGAACUGCAUUUGUGACUGUAUAGCUAGAGUACGGCAGAGGGGGAUGGAAUUCCGCGUGUAGCAGUGAAAUGCGUAGAUAUGCGGAGGAACACCGAUGGCGAAGGCAAUCCCCUGGGCCUGUACUGACGCUCAUGCACGAAAGCGUGGGGAGCAAACAGGAUUAGAUACCCCGGUAGUCCCUGUCUCUUAUAC